rnacentral:rRNA from 1 species
GACGAACGCUGGCGGCGUGCCUAACACAUGCAAGUCGAGCGGGGUUGAGGCGAGAGGUAACUCGAACUUCUACCUAGCGGCGGACGGGUGAGUAACGCGUGGGCAACCUGCCUCAAGGUUUGGGAUAACAGCCCGAAAGGGCUGCUAAUACCGGAUAUGCCUAUGGCCUCGCAUGGGGCUAUGAGCAAAGGGGAAACCCGCCUUGAGAUGGGCCCGCGUCCCAUCAGCUAGUUGGUGAGGUAACAGCUCACCAAGGCGACGACGGGUAGCCGGCCUGAGAGGGUGACCGGCCACACUGGGACUGAGACACGGCCCAGACUCCUACGGGGGGCAGCAGUGGGGGAUCUUGCACAAUGGGCGAAAGCCUGAUGCAGCGACGCCGCGUGAGCGAAGAAGGCCUUCGGGUUGUAAAGCUCUGUCUGGAGGGACGGAACAAAAUGACGGUACCUCCGGAGGAAGCCACGGCUAACUACGUGCCAGCAGCCCGCGGUAAAUACUACGUACGUACGUACGUAC